GAUUUUAGCAGACAGUAACUAAAAUCAGUUGCUGUUCCCACACAGGACUGUUGAGAUGAGAGAACUUCAGUUGGGGGGAACAGUUUGCAGACUUUUCUGCUCAAGCCGAAGAAGCAUCUACUGGGAGCUAGCUAACCAUGUUGGGUGAACCAAUGACAAGAGCCAUAUGUGCAGCCACAAAUCAGCAGACAAAGAGAAAAAGAAAAUUAGAUAAAAGAGAAUGGAUUCUUAACCCAGCAUCCAAGGUUGCCUGCAGAUCAACAUUUCAGAGGCCCCCCAUGUACGAAGAAGCGAGCAAUCUUCUUAACUCGCAUCCACUCGCCAUUGGCUACAUACAGGCAGUGGACAAACAGGAUCCGCUGCCCAUAUGUAUUAUUGAGCAUGUAAUUCACACCCCUUCUCUCAGGCAACAAAUCGCUUGAGAGAAGGGAUCAUUAACUCCUGACAGCAAGCGAUCUCU